AGCGAACGCUGGCGGCAGGCCUAAUACAUGCAAGUCGAACGGCUCUUCGGAGCAGUGGCGGACGGGUGAGUAACGCGUGGGAACGUGCCCUAAGGUACGGAACAACUGAGGGAAACUUCAGCUAAUACCGUACGUGCCCUUCGGGGGAAAGAUUUAUCGCCUUAGGAGCGGCCCGCGUUGGAUUAGCUAGUUGGUGGGGUAAAGGCCCACCAAGGCUACGAUCCAUAGCUGGCCUGAGAGGAUGAUCAGCCACACUGGGACUGAGACACGGCCCAGACUCCUACGGGAGGCAGCAGUAGGGAAUCUUGCGCAAUGGGCGAAAGCCUGACGCAGCCAUGCCGCGUGAAUGAUGAAGGUCUUAGGAUUGUAAAAUUCUUUCACCGGGGAAGAUAAUGACGGUACCCGGAGAAGAAGCUCCGGCUAACUUCGUGCCAGCAGCCGCGGUAAUACGAAGGGGGCUAGCGUUGCUCGGAAUUACUGGGCGUAAAGGGCGCGUAGGC
rnacentral:rRNA from 1 species